GAUCAUCUAGAUGGAAGCAUUCUUGCCUGCCAUCCAAAAUUUUAUGCAAUUUUGAAAAGGUUAGGGGGUUGAAAUUUGAAGGAAAAAAAAAAGAUUUUUUUUGAAAUUGAUGUUGAUAUGGAUAUUGAAAUUUUUUCAUCAGGCAUAAACAGACUUAAUUAUUAUUUACUUGAUAUGUUGGAUAAUCUAUUUGGGUAUAUCAAACUGACAUCUUUCUCUCAGUGAAAUAAAUGCAGGAUUUUUCUACUCAAGUGCAGAGCAGAGAGAGACAAUGGUUGCAGCAGAAAGGCGUUCAGUCGAUGUGAGAGUAAGGAAAAUCAUUGAGCUAAAGGACAAGGUCUGCUCCGAUAACGAUUACAACUUUGUUGUUAU